GGAAGACUUAAUCAUAACUUAAGGGGUGAAUUUUCUGCCUUGGAAGGUGUUUUCAGCUACGUGCCUUCAGAGUUGUCUGCGAAAGCCCAUUUCGAGAAGCAGAUCAUUUACAAAAAACCCUCUUGGAAAAGCUGGACCAUCUGGAAUUCAUUAUAUAAAUACUUCACAGUGACUGUCAGUACUUGCUAAACUGCAAGCAAAGACAACAAUCCAUGGAAUGUAACUGGUAAAAGUAAUAUCUGUCUCAGGACAAGAUUCCAAAAUAACUGACUGAAUAUUUAAUGUUUCUCGGCUUAUUUCUGUGGCAAUCAGAUCAGAUCCACUGAUCCACUGGGUUGGACAAAUUAAAUGAAUUAGUUCAGAUUUCCUGAUGGCUGAUGUGAUACUGACAAUCCAGACCGAAAAGGUUGAAGUCUGUACCGGAUGCAUUCGAAUAAUUUGAUACACAGAGGGUUUCAAAAGGACAAAUACUGGCUGCUGCAAUCACCUGACUGUGCUGAGCCAAGCUCUUGAAACUAUCAACAAACAAGCAUAAUCUGAGCCAAAACUCGCAAUGUUGUAAAGGGCUUUGAAACGUAGAUCUGUAUCUCCUGGUUGAUUUAGACAUUUCUGAAUGUUACAUAUGAGAUGAAAGGUUGUUUGCACAGCAUUCGGCUUGGAAAUGCAAUGGUCGAUAAGGAAUUUACAAAUGGACUUUUAAGAAUAACGGCUUCUAAGCAUAAGAGAAAAGAACAAGGGAAAAUGGCUUUGUGAACACAAGCUUGUCUUGGCUUAUCUCACUCAAUCUCACAGAAAGCCGAAACUAGCCAAUGGUUAGUAACAAUUCACUCGGAAUUAUAUGAACCAAACAUAGCUUCACAUUACAGAGUGAAUAAGACAGCAGGUAAACAGUUGGUUUUAAUUCUUUUCAUUAUUGAAACUCAAAGGCAAUAAAAAUCUGUAGACUGCAAUUGUAUUUAUCUUUGUCUGUUCCAUAUACCCUUCACCUCCACCUUCUUUAUUGGCACCCAUUCAUUUUUGAUCUAUUUAACUAAGUUAAUUAGAGUUUGUUAGCUAUAUGCUAAAGAAAAAUUAGGAGUAAUUGUUGCCACUGACUGAAAUGGGAUU